rnacentral:rRNA from 1 species
UAUGUGAUCGUCUCUCGCAUAUCAAUAAGCGGAGGAAAAGAAACUAACAAGGAUUCCCCUAGUAACGGCGAGUGAAGCGGGAAGAGCUCAAAUUUGAAAUCUUAAAGGGUUUCCCUUUACGAAUUGUAGUUUAAAGAAGUGUUUUCUGUUGAGGUUUUGGUAAAAGUUCUUUGGAAUAGGACAUCAUAGAGGGUGAGAAUCCCGUAUUUGACCUUUACUUUCAACUUUGUGAUACACUUUCAAAGAGUCGGAUUGUUUGGGAAUGCAGUCCAAAAUGGGUGGUAAAUUUCAUCUAAAGCUAAAUAUUGGCGAGAGACCGAUAGCGAACAAGUACCGUGAGGGAAAGAUGAAAAGAACUUUGAAAAGAGAGUUAAACAGUACGUGAAAUUGUCAAAAGGGAAGCGUUUGACACCAGUGUUGUUUUUCUGAAAAUCAAUUAAAGAACUGUUUAUGCUAAGUUGUUUAGACUUUAUCAGCUAACUGUUUAGUUUUGAGCUUUUCAUUAAUGCACUUUUCAGUUAACAAGUCAACAUCAAUUUCUUUUGCUGUAAAAAAGCUUGAGGAAGGUGGCUUGAGAUUCGUCUUAAGUGUUUAUAGCCUCUUGCCUAUGCAGUCGGAGAGAUUGAGGUCUGCAGCGUAGAUCCUUCGGGGCUAAAUGCAUUUGUGCUAAGUUAUAGCAUUUUAUAGACAACUUGUUGACUAUGAUUUGUCUUGUAGCUUACUCGCUUAUGUUAUUUUACCUACGCUUAGGAUGUUGACACACGCGCGUGCUCG